rnacentral:rRNA from 1 species
CCUACGGGUGGCUGCAGUAGGGAAUAUUGCACCAUGGGCGAAAGCCUGAUGCAGCAACGCCGCGUGAGUGAUGAAGGCCUUCGGGUCGUAAAACUCUUUUCAAGGGGAAGAGGAAGGACGGUACCCUUGGAAUAAGCAUCGGCUAACUACGUGCCAGCAGCCGCGGUAACACGUAGGAUGCAAGCGUUAUUCGGAUUUACUGGGCGUAAAGCGCGUGUAGGCGGUUAGGAGAGUUGGAUGUGAAAGCUCCCGGCUUAACUGGGAGAGGUCGUUCAAAACUUCCUGACUAGAGUUUGGUAGAGGAAAAUGGAAUUCCGGGUGUAGUGGUGAAAUGCGUAGAUAUCCGGAGGAACACCAGUGGCGAAAGCGAUUUUCUGGACCGAUACUGACGCUCAGACGCGAAAGCUAGGGUAGCAAACGGGAUUAGAUACCCCAGUAGUC